rnacentral:rRNA from 1 species
UACGUAGGGAGCAAGCGUUGUCCGGAAUCAUUGGGCGUAAAGCGCGCGUAGGUGGCCUCAUAAGUCCGUUGUGAAAGUCAAAGGCUCAACCUUUGAAAGCCGAUGGAUACUGUGAGACUAGAGUACGGAAGAGGCGAGUGGAAUUCCUGGUGUAGCGGUGGAAUGCGCAGAUAUCGGAGGAACACCAGUGGCGAAGGCGACUCUGGCCCUGUUCUUGACUGCUGAGGC